GAUAAACGCUGGCGGCGUGCUUUAUGCAUGCAAGUCGAACGGACUAUUUUCGGAUAGUUAGUGGCGAAUGGGUGAGUAACACGUAAGUAACCUGCCUUUAAGUGGGGGAUAACCCCGGGAAACCGGAGCUAAUACCGCAUGUGGUGGUCCUUCCCAGGAGGGACUAUUAAAGCCUUCGGGCGCUUGAUGAGGGGCUUGCGGCCGAUUAGCUAGUUGGUGAGGUAACGGCCCACCAAGGCGACGAUCGGUAGCUGGUUUGAGAGGACGACCAGCCACACUGGAACUGAGACACGGUCCAGACUCCUACGGGAGGCAGCAGCAAGGAAUAUUGGGCAAUGGGCGAAAGCCUGACCCAGCGACGCCGCGUGGAGGAAGAAGGCCCUCGGGUUGUAAACUCCUUUUCCCGGGGAAGAAUAAUGACGGUACUCGGGGAAUAAGCCCCGGCUAACUACGUGCCAGCAGCCGCGGUAAUACGUAGGCGGCGAGCGUUAUCCGGAUUUACUGGGCGUAAAGAGCGCGUAGGCGGCCCUUCAAGUCGGAUGUAAAAUCUCCCGGCUCACCUGGGAGGGAUCAUCCGAUACUGCUGGGCUAGAGUGCAGCAGAGGGAAGCGGAAUUCCCGGUGUAGUGGUGAAAUGCGUAGAUAUCGGGAGGAACCCCAGUGGCGAAGGCGGCUUUCUGGGCUGUAACUGAUGCUGAGGCGCGAAGGCGUGGGGAGCAAACAGGAUUAGAUACCCUGGUAGUCCACGCAGUUAACUAUGGACACUAGGUAUGGGGAGUAUCGACCCUCUCCGUGCCGAAGCUAACGCUUUAAGUGUCCCGCCUGGGGACUACGGCCGCAAGGCUAAAACUCAAAGGAAUUGACGGGGGCCCGCACAAGCAGCGGAGCGUGUGGUUUAAUUCGAUGCAACGCGAAGAACCUUACCAAGGCUUGACAUGUCGGAAGUAGUGAACCGAAAGGGAACGACCCGUUAAAUCGGGAGCCGUCACAGGUGCUGCAUGGCUGUCGUCAGCUCGUGCCGUGAGGUGUAUGGUUAAGUCCUGCAACGAGCGCAACCCCCGUCGCUAGUUGAAUUCUCUAGCGAGACCGCCCUGCAAAACGGGGAGGAAGGUGGGGAUGACGUCAAGUCAGCAUGGCCCUUAUGCCUUGGGCUACACACACGCUACAAUGGGU
rnacentral:rRNA from 1 species